rnacentral:rRNA from 1 species
ACGCUCGACACCUACGGGAGACAGCAGUGGGGAAUAUUGCACAAUGGGGGAAACCCUGAUGCAGCGACGCCGCGUGGAGGAAGAAGGUCUUCGGAUUGUAAACUCCUGUUGUUGGGGAAAAAGAGGAUGGUACCCAACAAGGAAGUGACGGCUAACUACGUGCCAGUAGCGCGGUAAUCUGAGCGGGCUGGCAAGGC